UACGAAGGGGGCUAGCGUUGCUCGGAAUCACUGGGCGUAAAGGGUGCGUAGGCGGGUCUUUAAGUCAGGGGUGAAAUCCUGGAGCUCAACUCCAGAACUGCCUUUGAUACUGAGGAUCUUGAGUUCGGGAGAGGUGAGUGGAACUGCGAGUGUAGAGGUGAAAUUCGUAGAUAUCGCAAGAACACCAGUGGCGAAGGCGGCUCACUGGCCCGAUACUGACGCUGGAGGCACGAAAGCGUGGGGAGCAAACAGG
rnacentral:rRNA from 1 species